GAUUUGUUCAUUUUUGCAGUUUCUUCAAAACAGAGCAAACAAUCCAUGAAUCAACUUACUUCUUCUCUCUCUUCUCCUUUCCUCGGCUAGAAACCAAAUCGUUUCAUUUUUACAGAUAUCAUCUUUCCUGAAAUCAUAUCAUUUUUCAAAAGAUUUUUCAGAUCUGUUUAUAGCGGCUCGAUUUUCUUCAAUUUUUACGAUCGAACUUUCUCUAACAAACUAACACUAGCUUAUCGUGUCAAUACUCUCUUCUUGUGCCAUUGUUCAGGUUUCACUUCGCUAACAAACCCUAGCAUCAAUUUUUAUUGCUAGUUUCGGUUGAGUUUGUUCGUGGUUAGGGUUUUUUUUUUUUGGGUUCUGAGACGGUGGUGAUGAAUAAUAGUAGAGGAAGGUAUCCACCAGGGAUCGGCGGUGGCCGAGGAGGUAUCAACGCGGCUAACCCUAGUUUUCAGUCCAACCGACCUCAACAACAAUACGUGCAGCGGAAUUCGGUCCCAAACCAUCAUCAGCAUCAUUUUCAACAACAUCAGCAACAACAACUACAACAACAUCAACAGCAGCAGCAGUGGCUGAGACGAAACAAUUUUCCUGGAGCUGAUUCUUCGGCCGUUGACGAGGUCGAGAAGACAGUUCAGUCCGAAGCUGCUAUCGACCCAAGUUCACAAGAUUGGAAGGCAAGGCUAAAGAUACCACCACCUGAUACACGUUACAAAACAGAGGAUGUGACAGCCACAAAAGGGAAUGAAUUUGAAGACUAUUUUCUGAAACGAGAGCUUCUUAUGGGAAUAUAUGAAAAAGGGUUUGAAAGACCAUCUCCAAUUCAGGAAGAAAGUAUUCCUAUUGCUUUAACUGGUAGUGAUAUUCUUGCAAGAGCAAAAAAUGGGACUGGGAAGACUGCUGCAUUUUGCAUUCCAGCUUUGGAAAAGAUUGACCAUGACAACAAUGUGAUUCAGGUUGUUAUCAUUGUUCCAACACGAGAGUUGGCUCUUCAGACAUCACAAGUCUGUAAGGAGCUCGGAAAGCAUUUGAAAAUCCAAGUCAUGGUUACCACGGGUGGUACCAGUCUUAAGGAUGAUAUCAUGCGAUUGUAUCAACCAGUUCACUUGCUUGUUGGUACUCCAGGAAGAAUUAUUGAUCUUGCCAAAAAGGGUGUUUGCAUUUUGAAAGAUUGUUCAAUGCUUGUAAUGGAUGAGGCCGAUAAGCUUUUGUCGCCUGAGUUUCAACCUUCAGUGGAGCAGCUCAUUCGUUUUCUGCCUGCAAAGCGUCAAAUUUUGAUGUUCUCAGCCACAUUUCCAGUCACUGUGAAGGACUUUAAAGAUAGAUACCUGCAAAAACCAUAUGUAAUUAAUCUUAUGGAUGAGCUUACUCUCAAGGGUAUCACUCAAUAUUAUGCUUUUGUCGAAGAAAGGCAGAAAGUCCACUGCCUAAACACUCUUUUCUCUAAGCUGCAAAUAAAUCAGUCAAUCAUUUUUUGCAAUUCGGUGAAUCGAGUUGAACUGUUGGCAAAGAAAAUUACAGAACUUGGCUACUCUUGUUUUUACAUUCAUGCAAAGAUGCUGCAAGACCAUCGCAACAGAGUCUUUCAUGACUUCCGCAACGGUGCAUGCAGGAAUCUUGUUUGUACUGACCUGUUUACGAGAGGUAUAGACAUUCAAGCGGUGAAUGUCGUCAUUAACUUUGAUUUUCCCAAGAACUCUGAGACAUAUCUGCACAGAGUUGGUCGAUCAGGAAGGUUUGGACACCUUGGGUUAGCUGUGAAUUUGAUUACUUACGAAGACCGCUUUAACUUGUAUAGGAUUGAGCAAGAACUUGGUACUGAAAUUAAGCAAAUUCCUCCACAUAUUGAUCAGGCAAUAUACUGCCGGUAACUUAUGGCAUGUAUCUUGCCAUGUAGCCGUGUUGGUAACAGUGGUGCAAUCUUUGGUUAUUCCAACUGCAUUUAUAGAGUGCUAUAACUUUUGGCAUUGCAUUAUAAAUCGGGGCUCUUGAUUCCAACCCUUUUUUCAAGAUUGCAGACGCCAUCCAUUGUAAAGUCCUUAGCUCUGCCACUGAGGAAGGAUUUACGGAAUUGGAAUUGUUGGUUAAAGAUUUGUGGUUGCUUCCUGGAAUGUUUUUCCAGGUUUCCGGAUAUUAUAGCCCUAAAUAUCUAAAAGGAUUGUAGGAGAGCUUUAGAUUGGUUUAUAAAUCCCAGAUAAAAGCUGGGUCUAGUUCAUAGUUGCGUUUGAUUAUGUUAGACUGGUUUGGUUCUUGUAUGUUGGUAUUUUAGUUUUAAUGCUGCUUAACUUUGGGAGGAUUUUUUGUGCCAAAUAUUUACGUUUUUCUGUUCUGUUUUGAACUUGAAUAAAACUAGUUUAGAGAUCAAA